UACGUAGGUGGCGAGCGUUGUCCGGAAUCAUUGGGCGUAAAGGGAGCGCAGGCGGGCGUGUAAGUCUUUCUUAAAAGUGCGGGGCUCAACCCCGUGAUGGGAAAGAAACUAUAUGUCUUGAGUACAGGAGAGGAAAGCGGAAUUCCCAGUGUAGCGGUGAAAUGCGUAGAUAUUGGGAGGAACACCAGUGGCGAAGGCGGCUUUCUGGACUGCAACUGACGCUGAGGCUCGAAAGCCAGGGGAGCGAACGGG
rnacentral:rRNA from 1 species